rnacentral:misc_RNA from 1 species
GAUGAAGAACGCAGCGAAAUGCGAUAAGUAAUGUGAAUUGCAGAAUUCAGUGAAUCAUCGAAUCUUUGAACGCUCAUUGCGCCCCCUGGUAUUCCGGGGGGCAUGCCUGUCCGAGCGUCAUUACAACCCUCAAGCUCAGCUUGGUAUUGGGCCCCGCCGACCCGGCGGGCCCUAAAGUCAGUGGCGGUGCCGUCCGGCUCCGAGCGUAGUAAUUCUUCUCGCUCUGGAGGUCCGGUCGUGUGCUCGCCAGCAACCCCCAAUUUUUUUCAGGUUGACCUCGGAUCAGGUAGGGAUACCCGCUGAACUUAAGCAUAUCAAUAAGCGGAGGA